rnacentral:tRNA from 1 species
CCCGCGGUAGCUCAGGUGGAAGAGCAUCCGGCCGAAACCCGGUGCGCGAAGGUUCGAAUCCUUCCCGCGGGA